GAUGAACGCUGGCGGCGUGCCUAAUACAUGCAAGUCGAACGCUUCACAUAUGUGAAGAGUGGCGAACGGGUGAGUAAUACAUAAGUAACCUGGCCUUUACAGGGGGAUAACUAUUGGAAACGAUAGCUAAGACCGCAUAGGUGUGCAGAUCGCAUGAAGUGCACAUGAAAUAUGCUACGGCAUAGGUCGAGGAUGGACUUAUGGCGCAUUAGCUAGUUGGAGGGGUAACGGCCCACCAAGGCGACGAUGCGUAGCCGACCUGAGAGGGUGACCGGCCACACGGGGACUGAGACACGGCCCAGACUCCUACGGGAGGCAGCAGUAGGGAAUUUUCGGCAAUGGGGGAAACCCUGACCGAGCAACGCCGCGUGAAGGAAGAAGUAAUUCGUUAUGUAAACUUCUGUCAUAGAGGAAGAACGAUGCGUGUAGGGAAUGACAUGCAAGUGACGGUACUCUAUAAGAAAGCCACGGCUAACUACGUGCCAGCAGCCGCCGCAG
rnacentral:rRNA from 1 species